UACGGAGGAUGCGAGCGUUAUCCGGAUUUAUUGGGUUUAAAGGGUGCGUAGGCGGUUCGUUAAGUCAGCGGUAAAAUUGCGGGGCUCAACCCCGUCGAGCCGUUGAAACUGGCAGACUUGAGUUGGCGAGAAGUACGCGGAAUGCGCGGUGUAGCGGUGAAAUGCAUAGAUAUCGCGCAGAACUCCGAUUGCGAAGGCAGCGUACCGGCGCCAGACUGACGCUGAGGCACGAAAGCGUGGGGAUCGAAUAGG
rnacentral:rRNA from 1 species